rnacentral:rRNA from 1 species
UACGGAGGGGGCUAGCGUUGUUCGGAAUUACUGGGCGUAAAGCGCGCGUAGGCGGCUUUCUAAGUCGGGGGUGAAAUCCUGGAGCUCAACUCCAGAACUGCCUUCGAUACUGGAGAGCUUGAGUCCGGGAGAGGUGAGUGGAACUGCGAGUGUAGAGGUGAAAUUCGUAGAUAUUCGCAAGAACACCAGUGGCGAAGGCGGCUCACUGGCCCGGUACUGACGCUGAGGUGCGAAAGCGUGGGGAGCAAACAGG